rnacentral:rRNA from 1 species
GACGAACGCUGGCGGCGUGCCUAAUACAUGCAAGUAGAACGCUGAAGGAGGAGCUUGCUUCUCCGGAUGAGUUGCGAACGGGUGAGUAACGCGUAGGUAACCUGCCUGGUAGCGGGGGAUAACUAUUGGAAACGAUAGCUAAUACCGCAUAACAGUAGAUAUUGCAUGAUAUCUGCUUGAAAGGUGCAAUUGCAUCACUACCAGAUGGACCUGCGUUGUAUUAGCUAGUUGGUGAGGUAACGGCUCACCAAGGCGACGAUACAUAGCCGACCUGGGAGGGAGAUUGGCCAAAAUGGGAAUGAGACACGGCCCAGACUCCUACGGGAGGCAGCAGGAGGGAAUCAUCGGCCAAGGACGGAAGUCUGAACGAGGCAAGCCGCGGGAGUGAAGAAGGUUUUCGGAUCGUAAAGCUCUGUUGUAAGAGAAGAACGAGUGUGAGAGUGGAAAGUUCACACUGUGACGGUAUCUUACCAGAAAGGGACGGCUAACUACGUG